CUACAUAACACCACUCUUGAAUUGCGCUUGGUUUGGCUUGGGCUUGAAUUGCGCUUGGCUUGCGCUUGGCCUGGCUUGGGCCCCGCUUGGGCUUGAAUUGUGCUUGGUUUGCGCUUGGCCUGGCUUGGGCCCCGCUUGGGCUUGAAUUAUGCUUGGCUUGCGCUUGGCCUGGCUUGGGCCCACUUGGGCCCCGCUUGGGCUUGAAUUGUGCUUGGCUUGCGCUUGGGCCCCGCUUGGGCCCCGCUUGGGCUUGAAUUGAUUGGUCUAUCUAAUGAUGUGCUUAGAUCAGUGAGUGCUGUACUAUUGUACCUGCAGCUGUUUUACAAGCUACAGGUUUCAUGGGUUCGUUUGUGAACCCAACAACUACUGUUACUUCCUUAUAAGGCUUAUUAGUUACCACAACAUGUUCAGGAAAGCCUAACACAUUCUCUAUGUGCAGAAACUAUCUAAAAACUCGAUGUCCCUUUUAAUUUAAUUUUUUACCAGCCUGCCUGUUUCUGGGUCAAUCCUCGAAACCUCGAUAAGUUCGUGCCUCUAAAAUAACCAACUAUACGGUAUCUAAAAACUCCCUCUCUUAAUUUUUAUUUUUACUAUUCCAUGAAUUGUUGAUGAAAAUCUGUCAUAAUUAAUUUUGUUAUACUUGGUAACCUUCGCACCCUCACAACCCCACAGUGAACUUUGACUCUAGCAUUUCUGCACGUGGCAGCCAAAAACAAUUAUUACCAGCAGCUAGCUACAUGUACGUAGCUACAAGUAGCAGCUUGUUAGUGCUUCUUAUUAUUCUUGUGCUAAUUAUCAACCCCCUCCCCCCAGCAGGGGUCAAGUACCUGUGCGGAAGGUGCCCCCUGAACCACCCACUACCCCUAAACGAUCCUCCAAUCGUCUCCCUGUACCCCGGGUCCUGCUGCUAAGAAAAGGUCACGAGGGUCAAAGGACAGAGGUCAUGAGGCGGCAGAUAAAGGGGAGGACCAUAAUACCAUUGACUAUCGAACAGCCACCCACCAAGAAGUGUUAGAGAAGCAGAUGACGUCAGUAGCUCAGCGUAUGAAUGCUAAUGGAGAGGCUCGUAAACGUGGUGGUGGUAUGACCCGAACCUUCUCCCCCCUCACUCCUAUCAUACAGCACCUCUAAAGCAAGUCACAUGAGGUGAGAGACACUGUACAUGUGUGUAGCUUGUGUGCAAUACAGUAGAGUUACGUACGCACUGUAUCAUACCUGUUUGGUUGUGGCCAUGCACCGGGCAGAGGUUUGGGGCCCGGCUGUAUUAUAGAGGGUGGCCUGCUAACACAGGUCCAAACACAUGCUAUGGAGCCAUUAACCUGGCUGUAUUAUAGAGGGUAGUUGUAGGGUAUAGACAGGUUUCAAUGUAACAAACAGCAUACACUUAUUUAGUAGCCACCUACAUUGUUUGAUUUCUGUGCCCAGGCUGAUAGCAAGAGUGAGAGGUCCUCCAGGAGCCAGAGACACACAGAAGACGCUAGGAGAUCGGCUCCAAAAGUCAAGUUCUCUAAAACUAUUACCGAGUUUCCAUACUACAGUCGCUAUGACAACCAGACAGAGAUCAAAUCAGUAUCAGGCCCAGGUCAAAGUCCGUCCCAUAGUCACCAUGGCAAGUUGGGUGGGGACUCGCUGAGGGUCAAAGGUGAAAGCUCGGAACACAUCAGAAAAAAAAAAUUAUUAUUAGCAUAGCACAAACUGUUCAUUAUUUUUAUUGCUUAUACUCGAGAUUUGUAUGUUACUAAUGAUAGUGUCAUUUGCCAUAUGCACAGUGUGUAAUGUAGGCCCUGAUAAAUUAUGCUCAGAAUAAUUUUUAGCAUUAUACCGUAAACGUUGAAAUUUUUGACGCAUCAAAAUUUCGCACUUUCUGCACUAGGCCCACAAUUCUUAAAUUUCGUGCGCAUAAAUUUUCGUCCGUUAUAUUAAGGUAGGUGUGGUGUAUAUAUUUAAUUUCGUGCGUUGAGUCCAAGGACGAAAAAAACGAAAUUAAACAGCCGUCGAAAAUUUCAACGUUUACGGUAGUAGGUGUAGAUAAAUUAAUAGCAAUCAAUGUCAAUGUCCAUUUUUGGUAAAGAUCAUUACAUUAAGUUUUGCAUAACAACCUUUUCAUGGCUUGAAGGAUUAUCACCAAUAAUUAUUAUGAGAAUCAUGAUUAUAUUAAAAAUGUUGUGUACAUGUGUCAGUUAGCUUUGCAUGUGUGCUGUGUUUAUGUUAUAAUUAUUAUGUCGCAUUAAUUUUUGGAUUUUUAAUAAUAAGCACAUUUUUCGAUCCGAGAAUUAAUAGAAUAAUGGUAAAAAUAAUGUUAUGAGGGCCUAGUGUGAGACUCUUCAAUACCUAAAGUUGGAAGUAAAGUUCAUAGCAUUCCUAUAACAGUGUACAGUAGACUCUCGGUCACUCAUGCAGCUUGGCCGGAAUAGCGAGGUGGCUGCAGCUCAGGAAAUAGCCGCGGCUUAACGACCUUACCUCGAAUCUAAUACUACUUUUGCAGUUCUUGUCUCGAGGGAUAAGGAAUCAUUCUGUUCUCUAUUUAAGUGUAAUCCAAUUUUAUUUGCUAAACCACACCCACAACGUCAUAUCCGGCCGAAAUAUACGUAUAAAAUUACGUUGAAAACCUGACAGCCAGCACUGGCCGUUAAACGAGUGGCCGUAGUUCAGGGUGAGUUGUUUGCAGUAAACAUAUAGCUAGCAUUCCCUGCCAAGCCAAAUGGCCGGUAUAUCGAGGUGGCCUUACUCCAGAGAGCCGGAAUAGCGAAAGUCUACUGUACCUGCAAGACCAGCCCCACCCCUUUUAGGAGUGAUAACAAUAAUGCGGGGCACAAUAUGGACCACACCACUUCAGACCUUAUAUCACUUUCACUGCAUACCUACAUAUUAGGAACUUUGAAUCAUUAAGUUUGAUUAGCUUUAUGUAUAGCUACUCCUGAUUAUAGUUAAUUCUGAGAAAAAGCAUAAUUAUAAUUAUGACAAUACAACUUGAUAAUUAUAAUGAAAAAUUUAAAAUUCUACACCACUGUUUCUUUCCCAGUAAUUAUAACAAUGUUACUCUUCAGCUUCUUUCGAUUUAUUUCAGCUAAUCGAACAUGAUAGAAAUAAACACCGGAGAAGAUGAGGACGAUAAUAAGUGCGGUUAGGGUAAACCCCAGUCUAACUCCACUGUUGGCCGUCCGGUUGCAUGUGGUAACAAUGGUGUCACAACUGAACGCACAAUCGAGAGGCUGGAAAUUAUCGGCCGUAAAUAAAAGGGAAGGCAAAUAGUGACAAUAAGAAUCAUGCCGAUAGUUACCAAUUGAUUGAAUGACUUAUUGAU